AGUCGUAACAAGGUCUCCGUUGGUGAACCAGCGGAGGGAUCAUUACUGAGUUUACGCUCUACAACCCUUUGUGAACAUACCUAUAACUGUUGCUUCGGCGGGUAGGGUCUCCGUGACCCUCCCGGCCUCCCGCCCCCGGGCGGGUCGGCGCCCGCCGGAGGAUAACCAAACUCUGAUUUAACGACGUUUCUUCUGAGUGGUACAAGCAAAUAAUCAAAACUUUUAACAACGGAUCUCUUGGUUCUGGCAUCGAUGAAGAACGCAGCGAAAUGCGAUAAGUAAUGUGAAUUGCAGAAUUCAGUGAAUCAUCGAAUCUUUGAACGCACAUUGCGCCCGCCAGCAUUCUGGCGGGCAUGCCUGUUCGAGCGUCAUUUCAACCCUCAAGCUCUGCUUGGUGUUGGGGCCCUACAGCUGAUGUAGGCCCUCAAAGGUAGUGGCGGACCCUCCCGGAGCCUCCUUUGCGUAGUAACUUUACGUCUCGCACUGGGAUCCGGAGGGACUCUUGCCGUAAAACCCCCAAUUUUCCAAAGGUUGACCUCGGAUCAGGUAGGAAUACCCGCUGAACUUAAGCAUAUCAAUAA
rnacentral:misc_RNA from 1 species